rnacentral:lncRNA from 1 species
ACAAAUGUAAUUAUUUAGAAACAUUACAUUUAGUUAUUUUAUCAAAUAAUUAUUAUUAUAAUAAAAAAUAAUUAUUGACAUGAAGAAAUGUAACGUUUUUGAAGAAAUGUAAUAUUUUAAAAUAUUACAUUUUUCACAAAAAUAUAUAAAAAAAAUACUACAAAAGAAAAACAAAAAAUAAAAACAAACGAAAAAUAAAGAAAAUACCGAAAGAAUAAAAAAACCAAAAUAUAUUAAAAAAUGCAAAAGAAAAAUAGUAAAAUUUAAAAAUAAUGCAAAGAAAAAAAAAUAUUGUAAAGAAAAAGAAUA